rnacentral:rRNA from 1 species
ACUCAAAUGAAUUGACGGGGGCCCGCACAAGCGGUGGAGCAUGUGGUUCAAUUCGACGCAACGCGAAGAACCUUACCCAGGCUUGAACAGCGAGUGACACCGUCCGAAAGGGCGUUUCCGCAAGGACACUCGUAGAGGUGCUGCAUGGCUGUCGUCAGCUCGUGUCGUGAGAUGUUGGGUUAAGUCCCGCAACGAGCGCAACCCUUGUCUUCUGUUGCCAUCAGGUUAUGCUGGGCACUCUGAAGAGACUGCCGGUGAUAAACCGGAGGAAGGUGGGGAUGACGUCAAGUCAGCAUGGCCUUUAUGUCUGGGGCUACACACGUGCUACAAUGGCAGAUACAAACCGUCGCGAGACCGCAAGGUGGAGCUAAUCGGAGAAAGUCUGUCUCAGUUCGGAUCGUCGGCUGCAACUCGCCGGCGUGAAGUUGGAAUCGCUAGUAAUCGCGGAUCAGCACGCCGCGGUGAAUACGUUCCCGGGCCUUGCACACACCGCCCGU